UAAGUUUUGGUGUUUUAGCACAUUAUUUUUUGAAAGUAAAAGAAAUAAAUUUACUUAUUAGACUUAG
rnacentral:tRNA from 1 species